CCUACGGGUGGCAGCAGUGAGGAAUAUUGGUCAAUGGACGAGAGUCUGAACCAGCCAAGUAGCGUGAAGGAUGAAUGCCCUAUGGGUUGUAAACUUCUUUUAUAAGGAAUAAAACGAGGCCCGUGUGCCUUUUUGAAGGUACGUUAUGAUUAAGGAUCGGAUAACUCCGUGCCAGCAGCCGCGGUAAUACGGAGGAUCCGAGCGUUAACCGGAUUUAUUGGGGUUAAAGGGAGUGUAGAGGGGUUGUUAAGUCAGUUGUGAAAGUUUGCGGCUCAACCGUGAAAUUGCAAUUGAUACUGGCAGUCUUGAGUGCAGGUGAGGUAGGCGGAAUUCGUGGUGUAGCGGUGAAAUGCUUAGAUAUCACGAAGAACCCCGAUUGCGAAGGCAGCUUACUAAACUGUGACUGACAUUGAUGCUCGAAAGUGUGGGUAUCAAACAGGAUUAGAUACCCGAGUAGUC
rnacentral:rRNA from 1 species